rnacentral:rRNA from 1 species
CCUACGGGUGGCAGCAGUGAGGAAUAUUGGUCAAUGGGCUUACGCCUGAACCAGCCAAGUCGCGUGAGGGAAGACUGCCCUAUGGGUUGUAAACCUCUUUUGUCAGGGAGCAAUUGGCGCUACGUGUAGCGUUAUCGAGAGUACCUGAAGAAAAAGCAUCGGCUAACUCCGUGCCAGCAGCCGCGGUAAUACGGAGGAUGCGAGCGUUAUCCAGAUGUAUUGGGUUAAAAGGGUGCGUAGGCGGAAUGUCAAGUCAGCGGUAAAAUCGCGGGGCUCAACGGCGCUGCGCAUUUGAAACUGGUGUUCUUGAGUGGGCGAGAAGAAUGCGGAAGGCGAGGUGUAGCGGGGAAAUGCAUAGAUAUAACGAAGAACUCCGAUGGCGAAGGCAGCACCCCG